rnacentral:tRNA from 1 species
UCUCUUAAAGUAAUAUACAUUUUAAUUUCGACUUAAAAAAUAGUUAAUAAAUUUAACUAAGAGAU